AUUGAACGCUGGCGGCAUGCUUUACACAUGCAAGUCGAACGGCAGCACGGAGAAGCUUGCUUCUCUGGUGGCGAGUGGCGAACGGGUGAGUAAUAUAUCGGAACGUGUCCAAUAAUGGGGGAUAACUAGUCGAAAGAUUAGCUAAUACCGCAUACGCCCUGAGGGGGAAAGUGGGGGAUCUUCGGACCUCACGUUAAUGGAGCGGCCGAUAUCUGAUUAGCUAGUUGGUAGGGUAAAAGCCUACCAAGGCGACGAUCAGUAGCUGGUCUGAGAGGAUGAUCAGCCACACUGGGACUGAGACACGGCCCAGACUCCUACGGGAGGCAGCAGUGGGGAAUUUUGGACAAUGGGCGCAAGCCUGAUCCAGCCAUGCCGCGUGAGUGAAGAAGGCCUUCGGGUUGUAAAGCUCUUUCGCAAGGAAAGAAAACUUACAUGUAAAUAAUAUGUGAGGUUGACGGUAC
rnacentral:rRNA from 1 species